rnacentral:lncRNA from 1 species
UGGCAAAGCCCCACAAUAUCCCUGCAUCAUGGAAUAAUACCCAAACUGACCCCAACCUUCUGAUGACUAAAGGGCAAAAUGUGGAAUACAUAUUAUAUAUUAAGGUUGCCCAUCCCAUCCACCUAAACCGUAUCACUAUCUCUAAGCAUAUUGUUUGUUGAUAGGAGGGAGUAUGGAAUAAGAAGUGCAUGAUAAAAGUAGUAAAAGACAAGUAGGAUUUAGUUUUAGAAUUUAGAGAGAACAUUAACAAAUAACAGCUGUUUGGUGUUUUGUUGAAAUCUCAAAUGGUGAAUUAGGAGUUAGGAGUUAGGAGGAGCGAGCAUUAAUAGGCAUCAUGUAAAGACCUCGACUCUCUAGCAGCUUAAUUGCUGCAGAGGGACUUGUUUCCAUCAAAUUUCCAAGCAUCUCUUCCAGUGGUCCACUAGCUGUAGCAGUCUUUUCAUCAACAAGGUAAGCACCAUAUCCCUGUCCAUUGUAAUUAUUAUAUAAUUAUAAUUAUUAUUUUAUUUCACCACGAUUGUUUUUAUUUUAUGAAGAGGGUAUUCUCGUCUUUUUGCACUGACAAGCAUUAAUACCUGUCCUGUCCCAUCUUUUUUUUUUUUUUUUUUUGACUGAAACAUAAAUAAAAUUUGUAAUUUUUGUCCCAGUUCCAGAGGGUGUUUGGGAUUGCCUUUUGAAACAACUUAUUAACUUAUUGGCUUUUUGUUCAAAAAGCCAAUAAGUUAAAAAAAAAAAAAAAUAAAAAAAAAAGUGUUUGGAUAGGAGAAAAGGACUUUUCAAUUUGGCUUCUUAGUAAGGUUGAAAAAACAGGUUACAAAUACCUGGUUUUUUGGAAAAGACGUAAGUCAAUAAGUUAUUUUUUGGGUCAUUUUACAUAUUUAAGCUAGCCAAACACUUUUUAACUCAUUGACUUUUCCCACUAUAAAAGCCAAUCCAAACACUUUUUUUAAAAACUCCUUUUGAAAAAGUCCUUUUAAAGUUUAAAAAGCAGUCGAAUACAUACCAAAUACAAGACCAUUUUUAUUGCUAGACAUAGACAUACCUCAAGGUAAGUUAAGUGAUUGGAAGUUGGUUCCCCUACCAAUCUGUUCUGACUCAAUUCCUGCACCAUUUUGAGGGAUUUAAAACUCAUGAUUUUCUAAUAUUCACCCGACUGGGUUAACAGAAAGAAACUAGACCACUUUUAUUGUACAUACAUGGCAAUCAAUCAUCUUAUAAGAGUUUAGGGGUUUUGUUAAGUUGCAAGACAACAGUCUCUCACCUUCAUAUGAAGCUGCAAAUACUUUAUAUACUCUAUGCAGUCAUCAACUAUGUUUGUUUUGUUUCCCUGCAGAAAAAAAUGGCGAUUAAAUGAAAUGGGGGUUGCUUUUGGACAAAUGUAGCAGACGUUGACCUAAUUUCAUUCUUCUUCCUUCAUCUUCAACAAAGGGACAAACAUCAAAUUACAGUAUAAAACAUUGUGUGUCACACUCACUCAGUUGCAUAAAUUUGUAAAAGUUUUACAUGAUUAAGGAUUUAACUAAUUGCCGCGUCAUAUACAAACCCAUUGCAUAUUUCAUCUAAAAAAAUCACUUUUUUGCACAAACUGGGAAAAGGUGAAAUGCUGUUGCAUAAAUGCACAUUUGACCCAACAUUUAAGCA